ACCAUCCUUUUCCUGGGGUUGCGCUACUGUCUGAUGAGCGUGUAGCGAGGGCAGUACUGCUAACGCCUAAGAAAAAAAACAAAAAACAAAAAAACCUACAGCAGGGACUUCCCUGGCGGUCCAGUGGUUAGGACGUGGCGCUUUCACUUUGGUGGGCCGGGUUCAAUCCCUGGUCUG